AGAGUUUGAUCAUGGCUCAGGACGAACGCUGGCGGCGCGCCUAACACAUGCAAGUCGAACGAGAGAUGAGGAGCUUGCUCUUCAAAUCGAGUGGCGAACGGGUGAGUAACGCGUGAGGAACCUGCCUCAAAGAGGGGACGACAGUUGGAAACGACUGCUAAUACCGCAUAAGCCCACGGCUCGGCAUCGAGCAGAGGGAAAAGGAAUGAUCCGCUUUGAGAUGGCCUCGCGUCCGAUUAGCUAGUUGGUGAGGUAACGGCCACCAAGGCAACGAUCGGUAGCCGGACUGAGAGGUUGAACGGCCACAUUGGGACUGAGACACGGCCCAGACUCCUACGGGAGGCA
rnacentral:rRNA from 1 species